rnacentral:misc_RNA from 1 species
ACUUAAACGUCGCUAAAACAUUUGCAACGCUGAAAAGCGAAAUCGAAAUGCAAGAAAAUAUAGGAAACGAGAAACUAUAUAACUUAGACCAUUUAAGUCAUUGGUAUAAAACGCAUUUCAACUUUGAUUUACCCUCAAAAGACUCUCAGUUAAUACAUUCUGACAAAGAGCACGACCCAAUGAGUUUUGAUGUCGACCCAAUAAAUUUUAAUGAUAAAGUGCAACCCGAUGUGGAGGCAAAUUUUGAAAAUGAAAAACAAGAUUUAGUCAAAGGAUUUAUGAUCGAAAAAAAAAUAAUUAAUCAAAAUCAUGAGCAAGACAAACAAAACCUUAUUAAUAAGUUUAUUAAAGAGCGCGAAAUUAUUUUGAAGGAUUUUCAAAAACAGCUUGAGAAAAUAGAAUCUCGACUAUUUGAGGCUUCAAAAACUAAACAUGGUCAACAAAAUGUUGUAAAAAAGCCAAGUACAGUUGAUUCAACAGAGAAACAUGAUAAGUUGAUCGGAGAACAAAUGCUUGAGCAACAAACACCCAAACAAAACUUUGAAGCAUGUGAGAAACAACUAUUUGUACGCCUCGAUGGAUCUCGUGUAAUUAGACCGGAAGAAUUUAUAUUAAAUUUUGAAAUGGAAGAAAAACUAGAAAGCGAAAAAGACUCUUUAGAAAGAAAUUUUCGUAAAGAAAAAGAAAGAAUUAAAGAUAUAUUGGAACUCGAAUAUGAAAGGAAAUUUUUACGGGAAAAACUUGCUCAUGAAAGCGAAAUCAAAAACUUACAUUCUGAUAUUGAUCAUUUAAAAGAUUUGAGAUACGAAGUAGGGAGUUUAUGGAAGGGACAAGCGUCAAAACUCGAAGCGCAGUUUCAAAACGAAAGAAUGGAACUCGAAAAACAUUAUAUUGAAGAGAUUGAACUUAUAAAACGAAAACUUGAGCGGAGACACACACUCAAACUUAAGGAACAACAGCGUGAAUAUGACGAAUCCAUAACAGAAUUAAAAAACGAUUUAAAAAAACUAAAAGCCGAUUUAUAUGAAGCAACUUUGAAUAACAAUCGAUAUAACGAAGAUUUUAAAGAAAAACUGUACAGAGAGUUUCAAGAAAAAUUUUAUAAUGAAACAAAAGCAGUACGUGAACAAAACGAAAAGUUAAACAAAGAGUUAACAAAAACAACAAAGGAAAAAGUAGAAUUAGCUCGUAGAACCAGAGAACUAGAAACAAACUUAGAAAACGAAUCAUCUACAAUAAAAGAAUAUGCAAGUAAGCUAAACCAUGAGUAUCAAAUAAAGUUUCAAAAAAUUAUUUCUGAAAACGAAAGGUUAAAAGCUGAAAAAAGGUUAAUCGAAAACGCAAAUGAAGUAAUGCAUUCAAAUUUAAUUCGGAUUGAGGCCGAAAAAAAAAACCUCGAAAGUAAGCUUUGCUUAAGCGAAAAAAUGUCCAACGAUUGUGAAGAUAGCGUAAAACUAUUGCGAGAUCAGAAUAAAAAUCUGUCCCAGGAAAUAAAUACUUUAAGAAUUGAAAAAACCGAUGUUCAGAAAAACAUUGAGGCCGCUAAUGAAAAAGAACGACAGACCAGAGCAGAACUAAAAAGAAUAGAAGAGGAGUUAAACGAAUCAACAAAUAGAUAUAUUUUUCUUGAACGGGAAAAAUUACAACAAGAAAAGUUAGUCAUUAGCUUGCGAAGAGAGAUAGAAGGAAAUCUGAUAAACCAAAAAGGGGUGUUGUCAAAAAUUGAAAAUUACGAGAGUGAAUCAUAUCGCUUACGAAAUUUACUUGAAACUGAAAGGAACGAAAACAAAAGGUUGCAUGAGCGAUUUCAGCAGGAUGCAGAACUUUUGAGAAAAAAAGACAAUGAAAUUCAAACAGUUAAAGACGAGCUUGAAGCUUUGAAAACUGAGCGCGAAGAAAUAAGAUCAAAAUUAGAAGCAUGCAACGAAAAUCUUCAAAAGUCCAACUCUGAAAAAGCGUCUUUACGAGAAAAAAUUGAGAAACUUAAAAUCACAACUGAUUUGAAUCACAAACAAGAGCUUGUGACUGUGCAAAGUAAAUACGUUGUAGAGUUUAAUAAACGUUUGGAAUACGUAAAAAAAUCAUACGAACAAGAAAUCGAACAGCUCAAAAAUAAAAUAAAAUGCAGUAGUAACAAAGAAGAGCUCCCUGUAUCAUCAACUAUUUCUACAGAAUCUUCAAAAAAUAUUAUCAACAAAUUAGAUAGAAUUAUUUGUAGGCACAGUAUAAAUCAAGAAUUUUGUAACUGCAGUGAAGCAGCAUUAUGUAACAAUAGUUGUUUUAAAAAAACGGAUUCGAGUUCCAAUAACGAAUCUGAGCGAAUGACCUGUUUUGAUUCGUCGUUUGAAAAACGAUUUAGCAGUAACGUUAAAUUUAACAAUGACCAAAACAAACCUCAACUAACAUCAGCAAAUAACGAAAACAUUCAAAAUACAAAUAUUAGAAAUAAAAAGGUUGACGACCCAUUAAUUUUCCAUAGCGAAAGAUGUUCUACUGUUAACGCGUCGCUAUCACAAAAUCAAGAACAUAAUGAAAUAUCAAACAGUUAUCAAAAUCAUUAUUUGUCUAAAUUUACAGAAGACCUAGAAAAGAUAAAAACAUCUCCAAAAUUCUAUAGACAUUUAGAGGAACAGCACGGUAACUUGAGCGUUAAUGAUCAUUCUUUAAAAGAACACAAAAACAAUAGAACUGGAAGAUCUUAUGAAAAAACGAAAUCAAGUGUAGAGUAAUUUACCGCAUUGUGUGUCAAUAAACGAUAUUAUUCUUCAGUUUGAAAAAGCGGAAAAGAGUUACGAUAGCCAUCUAAUUCGAACAUUGUUAAAAGACAUUCAAUGUGAGGUCCAUUUGUUAAACAAAAUGAUCGAUGAAAACACACCGUACUCCUCCCCGCGACACAAAGAUAACCAAACAAUAUUUAAAAAUAAAGAUCAUAAUAAAACAAAUGAUAAG